AUAUUGCGCAAUGGGCGGAAGCCUGACGCAGCGACGCCGCGUGGGGGAUGACGGCCUUCGGGUUGUAAACCUCUUUCGCCAGGGACGAAGAGCAAUUGACGGUACCUGGAGAAGAAGCACCGGCCCACUACGUGCCAGCAGCCGCGGUAACACGUAGGGUGCGAGCGUUGUCCGGAAUUAUUGGGCGUAAAGAGCUCGUAGGCGGUGUGUCGCGUCGGCCGUGAAAACUUGGGGCUUAACUCUGAGCGUGCGGUCGAUACGGGCAUCACUUGAGUUCGGCAGGGGAGACUGGAAUUCCUGGUGUAGCGGUGAAAUGCGCAGAUAUCAGGAGGAACACCGGUGGCGAAGGCGGGUCUCUGGGCCGAUACUGACGCUGAGGAGCGAAAGCGUGGGGAGCGAACAGG
rnacentral:rRNA from 1 species